UCACGUGAACCGUAUCAAAACUUAGUUGGGGGUCUCUUUC
rnacentral:rRNA from 1 species